rnacentral:rRNA from 1 species
UACAGAGGGUGCAAGCGUUAAUCGGAAUUACUGGGCGUAAAGCGUGCGUAGGCGGUCAUGUAAGUCGGGUGUGAAAGCCCCGGGCUCAACCUGGGAAUUGCAUUCGAGACUGCAUGGCUAGGGUGCGGAAGAGGGAAGCGGAAUUUCCGGUGUAGCGGUGAAAUGCGUAGAUAUCGGAAGGAACACCAGUGGCGAAAGCGGCUUCCUGGUCCAGCACUGACGUUCAGGCACGAAAGCGUGGGGAGCAAACAGG